UGAACGCUGGCGGCGUGCUUAACACAUGCAAGUCGAACGAGAAAGCUCUUUUCGGAGAGUUAGUAGAGUGGCGCACGGGUGAGUAACACGUGGAUAAUCUACCUUCGAGAUUGGGAUAACCAUUCGAAAGGAUGGCUAAUACCGGAUAAAGUUUAUAAUUAUUGAGAUUAUAAAUGAAAGGCAGCCUCUGUAUAUGCUGUUGCUUGGAGAUGAGUCCGCGUACCAUUAGUUUGUUGGUGGGGUAAAGGCCUACCAAGACUACGAUGGUUAGCUGGUCUGAGAGGAUGAUCAGCCACACUGGAACUGGAACACGGUCCAGACUCCUACGGGAGGCAGCAGUGAGGGAUUUUGCGCAAUGGGGGAAACCCUGACGCAGCAACGCCGCGUGAGUGAAGAAGGUCUUUGGGUCGUAAAGCUCUGUCAACAGGGAAGAAAUUACAAUUAUUUAAAAGAUGAUAGUAUUGACGGUACCUGUGAAGGAAGCACCGGCUAACUCC
rnacentral:rRNA from 1 species